CCCCUCUCAGGAUCGCACCUGGAGAGCUUCCAGUACUCUACCAGUCUCGGCUAUGGGAAGGAGAGUUAAGCAGAGUCAUAUCCAUUCCAUUCCUAGCUUGGGCAGUGGCUAGCAAGUGGAAGGCAAUCUGCUGCAAGU